AGAUGGAAGGGAGACAGGGGAGAGAUGGAAGGGAGACAGGGUAGAGAUGGUAAUGAGACAGGGUAGAGAUGGAAGGGAGACAGGGGAGAUAUGGAAGGGAGACAGGGGAGAGAUGGUAGGGAGACAGGGGAGAUAUGGAAGGGAGACAGGGGAGAGAUGGAAGGGAGACAGGGGAGAGAUGGAAGGGGAAAGAUGGUAGGGAGACAGGGGAGAGAUGGAAGGGGAGAGAUGGUAGGGAGACAGGGGAGAUAUGGAAGGAGACAGGGGAGAGAUGGAAGGGAGACAGGGAGAGAUGACAGGGUAGAGAUGGAAGGGAGACAGGGGAGAGAUGGAAGGGAGACAGGGGAGAGAUGGUAAUGAGACAGGGGAGAGAUGGAAGGGAGACAGGGGAGAUAUGGAAGGGAGACAGGGAGAGAUGGAAGGGGAGAGAUGGAAGGGGAGAGAUGGUAGGGAUACAGGGGAGAGAUGGUAGGGAUACAGGGAGAGAUGGAAGGGGAGAGACGGAAGGGGAGAGAUGGUAGGGAUACAGGGGAGAGAUGGAAGGGUAGAGAUGGAAGGGGAGAGAUGGUAGGGAGACAGGGGAGAGAUGGAAGUGGAGAGAUGGUAGGGAGACAGGGGAGAUAUGGAAGGGAGACAGGGGAGAGAUGGAAGGGUAGAGAUGGAAGGGUAGAGAUGGAAGGAGACAGGGGAGAGAUGGAAGGGAGACAGGGGAGAGAUGGAAGGGUAGAGAUGGAAGGAGUCAGGGUAGAGAUGGUAGGGAGACAGGGGAGAGAUGCUAGGGAGACAGGGUAGAGAUGGAAGG
ensembl:lncRNA